GGGCCGGGGGCCGGUUCCGCGCGCAGGGAUUUUUAAAUGUCCCGCUCUUAGCCGGGCGCAGGAGCAGCCGGCUCGGCCGCCAGCGCGGUGUAGGGGGCAGGCGCGGAUCCCGCCACCGCCGCGCGCUCGGCCCGCCGCUGCCUCCCGCCUCCCGCCUCCCGGCUUCCCGCUCGCCUCUGCCUCCUGCCUCCUGCCUCCUGCCUCCGGCCUCGGCUCGUGCCGCCUGCCUGCCGCGGAGACGGCUUCGGGCCUGAAACUUGAUCCCACGCCCCAAGCCAUGCCGAGGGAGAGGAGGGAGAGGGAUGCAAAGGAACGGGACACCAUGAAGGAGGAAAGUGGCACAGAUGUCUCUGUUCGCUCCAGGAAAAGGAAGGCAAAUGUGGCUGUUUUUUUGCAGGAUCCAGAUGAAGAAAUUGCAACACUUGACAGGACUGUGAGAAGCCAUUGCAGCAGUCAGCCUUGGGACGGUAAUUCUGUGUGUGAAAACCCCUGCUCCUUGAUUCCCACACCGGACAAAGAAGAGGAUGAGCCAGCAUACCCAAGUUCCGCGUGUGGACCGCAGAGUUUCAUGCCCUCCAGAGCCUCACCACUGCCUAUACUGAACUGGGCAAAUAGAGAUGAGGUCUGGAAAAUUAUGCUAAACAAGGAAAAGACAUACUUAAGGGAUAAGCACUUUAUGCAGCGGCACCCUCUCCUGCAGCCUAAGAUGCGAGCAAUUCUUCUGGAUUGGUUAAUGGAGGUGUGCGAAGUCUAUAAACUUCACAGAGAGACAUUUUACUUGGCACAGGAUUUCUUUGAUCGGUAUAUGGCAACACAACAAAAUAUUGUUAAAACACUUUUACAGCUUAUUGGGAUUUCAUCUUUAUUUAUUGCUGCCAAACUUGAGGAAAUCUAUCCUCCAAAGCUACACCAGUUUGCUUAUGUUACAGAUGGGGCUUGUUCGGGAGAGGAAAUUCUUAGCAUGGAAUUAAUCAUUAUGAAGGCCCUUAAGUGGCACUUAAGUCCCCUGACCAUUGUGUCCUGGCUGAAUGUAUAUAUGCAGGUUGCAUAUCUAAAUGACUUAUAUGAAGUGCUCCUGCCACAGUAUCCCCAGCAAAUCUUCAUACAGAUCGCAGAGCUUUUAGAUCUUUGUGUCCUGGAUGUUGGCUGCUUAGAAUUUCCCUAUGGUGUACUUGCUGCUUCUGCCUUGUAUCAUUUCUCUUCAUCUGAAUUGAUGCAAAAGGUUUCAGGGUAUCAAUGGUGUGAUAUAGAGAAGUGUGUCAAGUGGAUGGUUCCAUUUGCCAUGGUUAUAAGGGAGACAGGGAGCUCAAAACUUAAGCACUUCAGGGGAGUUCCUGCUGAAGAUGCGCACAACAUCCAGACCCACAUAAACAGCUUGGAUUUGCUGGACAAAGCCCAAGCAAAGAAAGCCAUAUUGUCUGAACAAAAUAGGAUUUCUCCUCUCCCCACCGGGGUCCUCACUCCCCCACAGAGCAGUAAGAAGCAGAGCAGUGAGCAGGGGACCGCGUGACCACACCAGCAUCCUCCACCAAAGACAGUUGUGCAGAAGUGCCCGCUCCAAGUUCCCUGCUGCAUACUGGGGCGGAGGCCCACACAGUGGCUGCGCAGGUGGGGCUUGCCGGCAGGCGGUGACAGUACUGGGGAGCACGUGUCUGCAUCCAAGAGGAUUCUUAGGUAUGAUGUCCACUCCACGACAGGCCAGAGGUCAUAAAGCAUCUGUAAUAAGUGUUACUCAACACCCUUUUUGUCCUUACCCAAAUCUUAACCUAAAGAACUUUUGUUGGGAGAACUUGUUAACAUAAUGUAGUAGCCUAAAACCAAACUUGGAAGAAGAAAAUGUAAAAUAAAAUGAUAUGUAGCUCAAGGCCAGAUGUCGGUGCACGGUCUGAACCUUGACCACUGAUGGAUCACCAAAUGCCUUGCCCAUGGAAGGAGUACCUGUCCACUUGGAGGCCUAAUGUGUACAUUUCACGAUGCAUUUUGUCAAGCAUUCUCAUCAUGGUGGUCUUGUGUGUUGCACUUCCUUACAACGCUUUGGUUUAUGUUAUGGGUUCAGAAAAAGGGAGGGUGAAUGAGCAAACAAACCCACUUAUUUUCAACUUGGUAUUUUAUCUCAUUUUGCAAAACCCUGUCUCAAUAGAAAAACAGCCAUUUAAAAAUCUGUAUCAUAUUUAUAUGAAAUCGGAGAGAGACCCUACUCCACAUUGUGAUGCUAUAGUUCUGGCAAGUUUUAAUAUGGUGUUCCAAAUAAAUGCAUUAUAAAUCUACAUGUCCUGGUAUUUAGUCAGAUGGUACUCUGAGCUAAUUAUUUCCUCAUCUCAGGCAGAGAUGCUCCCACCUUAAAAAGCAAUGAAUUUUUAAUGGUGACCAUUCGUAAGUGGCUUGUUGGAAAAAUCCUAUAAGUGGUUAACUUACAUUUGGCAUUUUCUAUGCAAA